GAUGAACGCUGGCGGCGUGCCUAAUACAUGCAAGUCGAGCGAACAGACGAGGAGCUUGCUCCUCUGACGUUAGCGGCGGACGGGUGAGUAACACGUGGAUAACCUACCUAUAAGACUGGGAUAACUUCGGGAAACCGGAGCUAAUACCGGAUAAUAUAUUGAACCGCAUGGUUCAAUAGUGAAAGACGGUUUUGCUGUCACUUAUAGAUGGAUCCGCGCCGCAUUAGCUAGUUGGUAAGGUAACGGCUUACCAAGGCAACGAUGCGUAGCCGACCUGAGAGGGUGAUCGGCCACCCUGGAACUGAGACACGGUCCAGACUCCUACGGGAGGCAGCAGUAGGGAAUCUUCCGCAAUGGGCGAAGGCCUGACGGAGCAACGCCGCGUGAGUGAUGAAGGUCUUCGGAUCGUAAAACUCUGUUAUUAGGGAAGAACAAAUGUGUAAGUAACUAUGCACGUCUUGACGGUACCUAAUCAGAAAGCCACGGCUAACUACGUG
rnacentral:rRNA from 1 species